UACAGAGGUGCGAGCGUUGUCCGGAAUCACUGGGCGUAAAGGGCGCGUAGGUGGCGUCGCAAGUCGAUGGUGAAAGCUCGUCGCUCAACGACGAGUCGGCCAUUGAUACUGCGAGGCUAGAGCACUGUAGAGGCUAAUGGAAUUCCGGGUGUAGCGGUGGAAUGCGUAGAGAUCCGGAAGAACACCGGUGGCGAAGGCGGUUCUCUGGGCAUUACCUGACGCUGAGGAGCGAAAAGUGUGGGGAGCGAACAGG
rnacentral:rRNA from 1 species